UUUUCCUUUUUCAUGGUACAAUAAAAAAGUAAUACCGAAGAACUGCCUUUAUAAGGCAGCGCUUCCGGAUGAUGAGAGACGGGCGCGGCGCAAUAGCGAGCCGUGAACCAUGUCAGGCGGGGAACCGAGCAGCAUUAAGCGGGCCUUGCCUAUGUGUGCCGAAUUCCUGUUUUGAGUCCGGUGGCGCUGUCUUAUAAGGGCGGUUCUUUUUGGAAGG
rnacentral:SRP_RNA from 1 species